GUAGAAGUAUAAAAGCUCGUACCUGUUCCUGGCAUGUGUUCAGUGCGCGGAAAAAGGUGAAACCAAACUAGGCCGAGUGCAACAGCGUCAUCAUCCUCCUGGUCACGGCCUUGCGUCCUCUUCAUCUACCAAAAGAGGGUCCAGCGCGGUGCGCAGAGAGACGCCAGCCAGCUGUCGGGAGGGCGUCCCUGCAGCGCACUUGCAGUGACGCCACGUCCCACUGGGGACUGCCCCCACCCCCACAAGCGUCCGUAUUUGCUUCACGCUGAGCCCCACGUACAAUACCUGAAGGUGAAGUUUUGUUCGUUCGGCUCGCGUUAUGCAGGUACGGCUUGACGACUGGAGACGCAACGUUUGCCUUUUUUUUUUUUUUUUUUUUGUCAAGAAAGGACUUUGUUGCGUCACUGAAUAAACACUGUUAAUCCACGAGCUGCAAAACGAGUUGCUGCUGGCAUCCCCGGGGACAAUUGUUUUGCAUGAUGUCACGAGAACAGCAGCGAAAUGUCUUUCAAAUGCCUUGGAGAAUGUCACCUAAUUUGCAUGCUCUAACGUGUACCCAUCCAAAUGUGUACGAUGACAAGGUGCUAAUAAACAAAAGAAAAUAGAAAUGCA